ACAAGGAACGCGGCGGCGGCACCUUGACGGGUUCGCCCACGGUGCUGCCGUGACAAUCGCGCGUAUUAAUUAUGCAUCUACGAUCGACGAGAUCGCAUCGGCGGAUACAGAUGUCCCCACGAGAUACGCGGAAUUAGUCCGACAUCUUUGCGACAUUUGCACAACGAUUUAAUCGAUCCAAAAACGCACAAUUGGAAAUUCGCCGGUUUUACAGUAUUGCGUCAAAGUUAUGUCAUGGUUAUCAACGGUGGACGAAUUUUACCGAUGAACCGCAGAAAAAGUGCUAAUACGAAAUUUUAUUAAUGCAGUCAUCUUAAAGAUAGAAUUUAGCAAAGUAUGUUAAAUAUCAAAUUUUCAUUGUGGACUGUAUUCUGGAAGGGAGCACAGGAAAAUUUACUCUACUUCGAUCGCUUCAAACUCCUACACAACAACGACAGAGGCGUUGGAGACACGCUUACCCUUAAACCGCCGAAAAACUCAUCCCCUGGAUCGCACGUCGUCGAUCCGUUCGUCGUCCUGUAAUCCCAACGGCUCCAAGUAGAGGAACCAAUAUUCGGUAAUCUCGUCGAGUGGAUUCACUGGGCCGAUCUAAAGCAUCGUAGCACGUUCAGGAAGCGGCGAAUCGUUCACUAUUGCGACCACUGGCUCUCCGACACGGCGUAGGAGCUUUCAGAGAUCGCGCGGCGGUAUACGCGACACGGUGCUGGACGCGGGUAUCUCGAUGGAGAUCAAGAGUCUCGGAAGAGUCCGGCGAGAAGGCGGAGGCCCCGAGGCGUGGAUCCGAGAAGAAUCACGGAAAAGAGACACGCUCGGCUAGACGUCGCGGUAAACACUGGCGGAGGAUGCACCGGAGCAAAGCGGGAGAGUUCUAGCUUGGCGGAGAGGCCUCGGGCACUCGCAAGGUUCACGUGGGACAGACAGGAAUACCACCGCGGAGCCACGGGGUGCGGUCUCGUUUCGUCGCGGCGCACAACUUUUCUGUCUCCUCGCUCGGAUACGAGUAGAAGAACCGGUCCAAGCAGAACCGUGUCCGGCGAGUCCGCGCAGAUCGACGGAGGAUCGAUGAAUCGUGGCCUGAUCGCGAUCGGGGAUCAGCUGCUCUGCCUGCUGUCAUUGCACCCGUGACGAUGUUGCUUCUCGUGCUAAGGUUGUAACGCGAUACCGUGCCGUUCCCGGUCCGGUCGCAUGUUCUUUCAUCGAUUUCGGAUCGGCAGAGACACAGAGAUAUCGGAUAUUCAUUGCUAUUUUUAUGUUUAUCGAAGCGAUCACGCGACCGUGAUCGAGUUAUUUCGUUCACCCUGUAGAUUGCCUAUUACUCGAUCCACGAAUAGCCUAAAUUAAUACGAUUUGCGUCGUGUUUCGGCUCAUUUUGAUCGGGAGAAUCUCCGCUGUUUAUCGAUGCUGCAAUUAUAGAGAUAAGACGACUAUUAAUGAGAACGAUACUUUGUUUAUUGCACAUUUAGUUUCUACUGUGCGAGGGCGUUACAUUCGCCUAUUCGAACCAAACAGUAUUCUCUUUGUCAUUCGUGCAUAUCAUCGAAAACGAGUAAAAUGUACAAAGUGAUGAAUUUAUUUUGGUCACCCGGUGUACAGUAGUAAGCUGUUCCAUAAACGUAGUCCGAUUCGCGCCGUGUUUGGACUCAUUUUAAUCAGAAAAAUCUCAGCUCUCCUUUGGUGCUAGAAUUAUAUCGCUACAGAUUGUCAGCAACUAUAAAAACGAGCCGCCAGGGUCGAAUAAUCGCAUCUGCUCUUCGCAAAUUGUCCAACCGAGCGUCAAUUAGGAAGAACUUACCGCGCACGUAUUCAAUCGUACCGAGAAUUACGUGACACGCGUCGCGGCAACGCGAACGCUGGACCGGACCAGGAACGGCACGUGUAUCAAUCCAGAACGACCGAGCCGUGGCAGUGAGCCCCGGAGGGCAAUCGCGGGACAAUCUCGGCAUCCGAGUCGGAUCGAUUUGUCAUAUAAUUGGUGCGCGUGCCCGCGCGAUUUCUCCGGUCCCGAUCGGGCCCGCCGGUAUUCCGCGCGGGCCCGAUCGGGGCCCCCUCCCUGCACGUGGGAGGCGAAACGGACGCGAUCCUAGAGCGGCGGCAGUGGCGUAACCGGUAAACAAACUCGGAAAAGAAGGACACCGUACCGAAUAAACCUGUUCGUCUCGGGGUUCUGGCUCGUUUCGGCUCGGCUCGCUCGUUAUCGGCGAAACGCGAGACGGGUUAUUAAAAGCGAUCGCUUUAUGCGCGCGGUCGCGCGAGAUGAGACGAGGCGACCCUCGCGCGAUCCUGUUCGCCGUUUCCAUUCCUUCCUCGGACAACCGCGCCGAUUAUGACUCUUGGAUCUCGUCCCGAGUUAUUAGCAACCCUCCGAACGGCUCCCGCUCCCUCUCUCUCUCUC